UACGUAGGGGGCCAGCGUUGCUCGGAAUUACUGGGCGUAAAGGGUUCGUAGGCGGUGCGGCAAGUUGGGAGUGAAAUCUCUGGGCUUAACUCAGGGGCUGCUUUCAAAACUGCCGCGCUCGAGUGCGAGAGAGGUCAGUGGAAUUGCAGGUGUAGCGGUGAAAUGCGCAGAUAUCGGGAAGAACACCCGUGGCGAAGGCGGCUCUCUGGGACGGUACUGACGCUGAGACGCGAAAGCGUGGGGAGCAAACAGG
rnacentral:rRNA from 1 species